rnacentral:rRNA from 1 species
UACGUAGGUGACGAGCGUUAUCCGGAAUUACUGGGCGUAAAGCGUGCGCAGGCGGCUUCGCAAGUCAGGCGUGAAAUCCCCGGGCUUAACCUGGGAAUGGCGUCUGAAACUACGGAGCUGGAGUGUGGCAGAGGGAGGUAGAAUUCCACGUGUAGCGGUGAAAUGCGUAGAUAUGUGGAGGAAUACCGAUGGCGAAGGCAGCCGUCCUGGGCCGAACACUGACGCUCAUGCACGAAAGCGUGGGGAGCAAACAGG